rnacentral:rRNA from 1 species
UGCCAGCCGCCGCGGUAAUACGGAGGGUCCAAGCGUUAUCCGGAUUCAUUGGGUUUAAAGGGUGCGUAGGCGGGAUAUUAAGUCAGUGGUGAAAGCCCACAGCUCAACUGUGGAACUGCCAUUGAAACUGAUAUUCUUGAAUAUGAUUGAAGUGGGCGGAAUAUGACAUGUAGCGGUGAAAUGCAUAGAUAUGUCAUAGAACACCGAUAGCGAAGGCAGCUCACUAAGUCAUCAUUGACGCUGAGGCACGAAAGCGUGGGGAGCGAACAGGAUUAGAUA